rnacentral:rRNA from 1 species
UACGGAGGGAGCUAGCGUUGUUCGGAAUUACUGGGCGUAAAGCGCACGUAGGCGGCUAUUCAAGUCGGGGUGAAAGCCCGGGGCUCAACCCCGGAACUGCCCUCGAAACUAGAUAGCUAGAAUCUUGGAGAGGCGAGUGGAAUUCCGAGUGUAGAGGUGAAAUUCGUAGAUAUCUGGAGGAACACCGGUGGCGAAGGCGGCAUCCUGGACCAAUUCUGACACUGAGGAGCGAAAGCCAGGGGAGCAAACGGG